GGACCCCGGCGAAGCCCCGGUGCGAUAUUCGGGACACCCGAUGUGAUUCGGCAAUCGGUCUUGGGAAACCGAUUCCCGUGGUUCCUUGUUUGGGGAUUUUAUAUUAGUUGCUGACAUUAGGGUUUCCUUCUGACCUAGUGGACCCUUCGUAGGUCCGGUUGCUCUGUUCCCCGCCGUCGUGAGAUCUUAUCCAGACUUGUAUAGGUGGGUACUUCGAUCCGACGUUGGUACAGUGGUGCACGCUCGGUAUCGCGGGCGUUGAGUAGUAGGACGAGACGUGAGGUACGUGUGUAGCGGUCGAUAGAGCUUCCGGCCCAGGUUAUUUCGGUAUAGUUAUUACCCUUAUUAUUUCAGUUGUUAUAGCUUAGAUAGUCAUAUGGUUCAGUAUUUUUAUUACAUUUGAAAAUAUGGAUUUUCGUGAAUGUAAUAAACGGAUUCCUGGAUUUUGUAAAAUAAAAGGUUUUCUACCCCUCGUGGUAGCAUUUUCAAAGAAUAAAAGUUCCUGUAUAGGAACAGUUUU